UACAGAGGUCCCAAGCGUUGUUCGGAUUCAUUGGGCGUAAAGGGCGCGUAGGCGGCCUUCUAAGUCACACGUGAAAUCCCUCGGCUCAACCGGGGAACUGCGUGUGAUACUGGCGGGCUUGAAUGCGGGAGAGGGAUGUGGAAUUCCAGGUGUAGCGGUGAAAUGCGUAGAUAUCUGGAGGAACACCGGCGGCGAAGGCGGCAUCCUGGACCGAGAUUGACGCUGAGGCGCGAAAGCUAGGGUAGCAAACGGG
rnacentral:rRNA from 1 species